rnacentral:rRNA from 1 species
AACCUUCAGUAACUGCUGCAUUACUAGGAUAACUUAAUUCAACAUCGAGGUGUCAAACUUUAUCUUCGAUAGCUUCUCUAAGAUAAAAUUAACCUGUUAUCCCUAAAGUAGCUUUUAUUUAUUUAUUGUCAAUUUUUUUUUUAAAAAUUGACAGGUCAUUAAAAUCCACUUUGUGAUUGUUAAAUUAAUAAAUUAAACAAAAAUUUAAUUCUAUUAAUUAUAUUGCAUUCUUUAUUUUUAAAAUGCUGUUGCCCCAACCAAACUACCAAGAUAUAAUUUUUUAUACAAUAAUCUAUUAAUAAUUGUAUUUAUUAUAAAAUAUAGUUAAGCUUUAUAGGGUCUUCUCGUCUUACAGUUUUAAAUAGCAUCUUCACUAUUAUUUAAAUUUAAAUUUUUUUAUAUUUAAGACAGUGGAAACCUCGUAAAACCAUUCACCUACGUUCAUCAAUUAAAUGACUAUUUAUUUUCCUACAUUACCACCGUCAAGAAUACAGCGGCCGUUGAGUCUUUUUUAUUAAUCCCUUAACAUUAUAAAAGACCACUGGGCA